AGACCCGAAACCCGGUGAUCUAGCCAUGGGCAGGUUGAAGGUUGGGUAACACUAACUGGAGGACCGAACCGACUAAUGUUGAAAAAUUAGCGGAUGACCUGUGGCUGGGGGUGAAAGGCCAAUCAAACCGGGAGAUAGCUGGUUCUCCCCGAAAGCUAUUUAGGUAGCGCCUCGUGAAUUCAUCUCCGGGGGUAGAGCACUGUUUCGGCUAGGGGGCCAUCCCGGCUUACCAACCCGAUGCAAACUGCGAAUACCGGAGAAUGUUAUCACGGGAGACACACGGCGGGUGCUAACGUCCGUCGUGAAGAGGGAAACAACCCAGACCGCCAGCUAAGGUCCCAAAGUCAUGGUUAAGUGGGAAACGAUGUGGGAAGGCCCAGACAGCCAGGAUGUUGGCUUAGAAGCAGCCAUCAUUUAAAGAAAGCGUAAUAGCUCACUGGUCGAGUCGGCCUGCGCGGAAGAUGUAACGGGGCUAAACCAUGCACCGAAGCUGCGGCAGCGAACGUAUCACUUAAAGCGAUUCAGCGGGUUACGAUUGACGGAGCGAAGCGACGUCAAAGCGUAUACAAAGUCGAGUCGGUUUAAGGAUACGUUCGUUGGGUAGGGGAGCGUUCUGUAAGCCUGUGAAGGUGUGUCGUGAGGCAUGCUGGAGGUAUCAGAAGUGCGAAUGCUGACAUAAGUAACGAUAAAGCGGGUGAAAAGCCCGCUCGCC
rnacentral:rRNA from 1 species